CUAUUCUUCUACCUAUAAUUGCCCCAUCUGGUUAAUUUCUAAUAUGUCAAUGACCUUGUGAGGAAACAUAAGGUGGAUCAGUUGAUUUACUGACUAUUUUGUUGUUAAAUCUUGCAUUCUUGGCUUCUGUUUUUUAUUUGUUUCUUGUUGUUCCCUCGACAUUUUUACUUCUUUCUUGUGUAUAUAAAUAAUGCUUGCCUUUUCUGGUUCGUGGAAAGCAAAUGCUUCUAAAAUACAAGUUUCUGUCACAGAAAUUUGCUCACAUAGAAAACAUUAUUUGUGAUAUGAAACUUAUAUUUUUAUUGUUUGCCUUUGCUCCAGUGUGAGUGUAGUGAGUUGCAUCUUAACAUACAGACGUUGGGUUCUAGAUACAUUAUGUUACCUAAAGUAACUUCUACUGCAGCUUACAGGCAUAUACCUUUUUUUUUCCGUGGAGACCAUGAUUGUCAAACAUAUUGUGUUUGUCAGCAUGCUUAUUCCUUAGAGUAGUAAAAGCACGCAAAUACAUGUUGCACCCAUUCAGUUUUGUUGUUGUUGAACUCUGGUAGUAGAGUUAUAGUUCAACAUGUAAUUUUUUUACUCUAUUAUUUGUUUCUAUUUCUCCAAUGCAUGUUAUUGGGUAGAGGGUAGAGGGUAGAAGAUUAGAAGGAAAUUGAGCAGUACAUACUACAUAUAAAUGUUGGUUUAACUUCUUAUACUUUGUGACGCACAACUACUUUUGUGAUGUUUAAGCAUGUUAUUCUGGUCUUCACAUGUUCAGCAAUUAGGCAGGUAGAAGAAGUUCGCCUAGAUUUUUCCUUUUAAUAAAAAUUGGAAUUUGGAUUCUACCGACCAGACUAUGUCGGAAUAUGUCAAUGAAGUAACUAAUGAUCCAAACCAAGAUGAACAACUAAUCUGCAUCAAAAAAUAAUUGCCCACCGCUGCAUCACCUAGCCAAAGUCUAGGAUUCUUUUUUCCAUAUUGAAUAUGUGUCAGGAAUUCUUGAUGGUCUCCAUCACACCUCCUGCACAAUCUCUUGCAACAAACAUGAAUUUGUUGUUAUAUGGAGGAAAGGAUAUCUUUGUGUCAAAAAGUGAUGAGAUGCAGGUCUCUAUGAUACUUAAAAGAAGUUAAUCUUGUUGAAUAACCUUGAUAAUUCUUGUAUCUGUUCGUGGAUAGUGAAUUGACUUGAAAGCCCAAAUAUUUAAGUCGACCAUGAAGCGGUUAAAAUGUUUAGUGCCCACUGACUAAAAUAAGGUCCAAUUGCUACAACAUUCAUAACUUUGGACAAAAUACUCAUAGUCAAUCUCCCCAUUACUCAUAUUGCCAGAGUAGUUGCAUUUUUUUUUUGGCAUAGCGAAGAAGACAAUUGUUUGUCUCAAGGUUUCAAGAACCGGUACCAAGGCCCAUAUCGGUUCUUGAUUGGUAUGGUAUGAUAUCGUGUACCGUUCCGAGUGUUGGUACGUUGUGGCGUAUCGGUUUUGUACCGGUACGCCACAAAAUGUUUUUUUUUUUAUUUUUACAGUUGAAUUUGAUUUCAAAUAAUUUUUUAUUACUUUAUAUCCAAAUUAAUAUUUAUUUAUGUUGUAUAACAAUUCUACUAUCCAAAAAAAAUAAAAGAAGUCUAAAAAACUAAAAUAAUGUAUUAAAUAUAUUUAAAGUACAAAUUACAAAGAAUAAUAUGCGAAUCUCAAAAUCUCUGCUGUUCUAAUAUCUCGUCGAGUGUCUGUGUUGCUCGUAGAUAUUCGGAUUAUCCGUAUACUUUAGAGGAACAUCAGUCCAUCCCUCUAAUCGAGGAGUACUGUAAUCCUGAAUAUUUAUUCCAUAAAGUAUUCUCUUUGGAUUGUAGGACAUUUCAGAUCUCUCGCUCAAACUCUGACUUUGAGAGAUAUCCUCGGGAUGAUGGUAUGACUGUGGAGGGGCUCAUCCAAAUAUGCCACUAGCAAAAUCCAAUCUAUAAGGUGCUCCAGACUGUAUAGGAUAAUAGCCAUUGAAAGCCGAUGUUUUGGAUACAUCAUAUUCAUAUAGAUCAUAGCUAUCUACGGGUGAUAGGAUCCAUAAUACAAGGAUGAUCUAGAUACAUUCAUGAAUCCUACUCUACGUGCAAAGUCAUCUGCAACUGCAUUAUGUGCUGGACGAUCUUUAGAAGACCGUCAUCUAUAUGAAAUCAUCUUCUCACAGGGUUUAUCAGCUCAUGCAUCGUGGUCCCUAUCUUGUAUGGCGUGUAAAUUGGGACUCAUCAGUGAAUCGAAUACUAUCUUGCGGCUGCAUCUUAUGAGUAGUGGUCUCGUAUCUUUCAGUCUCUCCCUGAUCAUCAGAUCCAUGACUACAUCACUCAUUACCGCUGGUCUCCGAAUCUGAGUCAGCUGACUCAUGCACUCUCGAAGGUGCUGCAACUGACUUUUCUUUUUUUGUCUUUUCGAGCUCCCUCGAUGCCCCUCCGUGACAGACUUUGCUGUAUUUGGGAGGAUGGAUGUCUUCUUCCUGCUUGAGAUGACCGGUCUCAUUUUAGUAUUUUUCGCUCAAAUAUCUGAGAGGAUGUCUCGGACAUGGAGUCACGUGAUGAAUGACUACCCUAUGAUCCCUCAGGCUGUGGUUGAUUAGCUGGAAUCUUAUGUGAAAUAUUUGUAUUUGCCUAUUGCCCUGGAUCCAUCUUGAUCUCUCUAGCUACCACACUAACUGAUCGUAGAGGGGAUCCUGGCUCAUCAAGUUUCGGCUCCUACUGUUGGUCUGCAAGCCAUCCAAUCAUCGGAUUCUCAUCAUCAAUGGCAUCAGCUAUCAUCGGAUUUGUAUAAGGACGAAAGUUGAUCAACUGCGCUCACACCCAUUAGAGGAGAUCGUCUGGAAAAGAAUGCAAAUGGCUACAUUUUUUUCAAAUUUUGUGUGGACUGUCCAAAAUGAAUCCAUCAUUCAGCUGUAAGAAUAUUAAACAAAAUUACAUAUUAGAUUUUAUGAUAUUAGUAGGCAUGUAAUGUCAACAAAGUCCUCAUUGUUGAUGUAUAAUUUAUCUGGAUUCAUCUUUUUUUUGCUUAUGACAGUUGAUGAAACUCUAAA